ensembl:lncRNA flocculation protein FLO11-like
AACUAGUCGGAUACUGUCCUCAAGCUGUCCUGUAUUCCUGAUACCUUCAGAUAGAGCACAGAAGUUGCUUUUCUCCCAGCGCUCUUGCUCUCAGGUGUGCAUGAACGUGUUCUCCUGACAGCAGGAAGGGAAAAGUAAGGCAUGAAACAAAACUGGUGAGUAGAAGACAUGAUCUCCUUUUCAGAACCUGCUGUGUUUCAAGAUGGUUCCAGACCAGAGGAGGUUCUCCCAGCUGCCUUCUGGAGCGUGGUUUUUGAAAAGUAUUUGGUAUUGGAGAGUCUUCAGUUGCUGAUGAGUGACUUUCCUGAUGUGAUAACAUUCUUGGUGUCUGAUCCCGGAGAGGUUCUUGGAAAACGUUUCAGAUAACCACGCUUGCUCAGUUUUUACCAGAAGACUUCCCUUUGUGUCAUUAAAUUCUGCUUUGUAUUCUGCUGUAAAGCAGCUGACUGGUGUGUGUUUAUUUAUUUAUUUUGCCCUAGGCCUCUAGAUGGGUUUGGCCUACGUCCUUACUACUGACUGUGCUUGAGAGGCUGACACCGGUCCAUUUUGGAGUCAUACAUCACAUUCUAAGAACCCCCUUUUUAACUCCUGGGAACUAAUUGAGAAAUUAAAUGUUGACUGUUGUCUGGGAGCAAUUCCUGCUGGACUCAGUUUUUCCUGUCAUGCUUUUGCUUGUAUAAAUCAUCAGAUUCUUGUUACAGUUUAGCAUGCACUGCACCUCGAGGAGGCCUCACUGAGACCUGCCGCAGCCUCUGUGCACAAACACCCCCUCUUUUGGGGGGUUGGCUGAUCCGGCUGAGCCUCAUGAUCACAGUCAGGUGACGAGCACAAAGCGGCGCGGGAUAAGCAGCUCAGCGUGAGAGAUCAGCUGCUGGCCUGGCCCCUCUGCGAGCUGUUAGUGCUCAGGGAAAAUGAGCACCUGGACCCCUCCUCUGCUUUGGAGCUUGACCACAGCGUGUCUGACAGGUAUUGCUUUAGGCCAGACAGCUACCACCCAGGCCCCUGUUGCAUCAACCCCACUACUUCUGAGUGCCACCACCACCCAAGUCCCUGUUGCACCAACCCCAAUGUCUUCUAGUGCCUCCGCAACCUCAGCCCCCACAUCCCCAUCUGCUGUUGGGACACUCUCAGCUGGAACAGUGACAAACCUCACGACCCCUACAGUUGUGCCAUCUGCUGUCCCAAGCACAAACCCUCCCGCUCCAGCUCUGCCCACCACCCCACAAAUCACUAUGCUCACCUCUGGGAUUGCGACCACAGCUCAUGGACCCACAGCACCGAUGGCCACAUCCCACAGUGCCUGGGUCACCUCUCCAGAUAUGACCGCAUCUCCUGGGGUCCCGUCAGUGGUCCCAUCCCUCACCACCACUGAGCCCUCGAACUGCAGCAGAGUGAACGUGACAGCGUGUGCUCCUUGCUCCCCGGGGACCGUUCCCAGCAAUGACACCUGGAGCUGCUCGUGCUGUGCAGAGGGCUCAUGCAUGGACCCCGGUGCCUGUGCUCCUUGCCCAGCAGGGCACUACCAGCCUGCGAGGGGACAGCAGCAGUGCCUGCCAUGUCCAAAGGGACGUUAUGCCAACACUACGAGGAGCACUGCGUGCUCACCCUGCCCACCUGGCCACUACGCCAACGAGUCGGGGGCCACAGCCUGCAGCGCGUGCCAGGAAGGUUAUUUUAGCUCACAUCAAAAUGCAGCUUUUUGUCUGCCUUGCCUGCCUGGAUCGUUCUGCAACACCAGCAGCUGCACGGUGUGUCUGGCCUGUCCUGCUGGGCGUGAGGCUCCACGUGAGGCUGCUGAGGAGUGUAUGCUGUGCGGAGCAGGUAUGUUCAAAGGUCCGGGUGAUGACGCCUGCAAGCCCUGUGAGCCAGGGGAAUACCAACUGCAGCGGGGCCAGGAGAGCUGUGACCCGUGCCCAGAGAACCACUACUGCCCCAGCCCAGAUGUGAACCCAAUAAAGUGCCCUCCUGAUGCCUUCUGCCCCGCGGGCAGCACCGCACCCCAGUACUGCAUGGAGAUCUUCCUGUACAAGGUGGGCAGCUCCUGCCAGCUGACACCACUGGUGAUCAUCUUCCUGGCCCUCUUCUCGGCAGGUGCAAUUCUUAUAAUCUUUGUACUAAUUCUGAGGAGGAGGCAAGACUAUAGCACGAGGUCUUUGAAGUCCCUGCUGCUACCAAGAGGAUCAGGGCGGCACACAACGUAUGGAGUGAUGGAGCACACAGAGCCGGUGUAUGCUGGCUGGUAGUGGGGGAAAUGCUACCAGCAAGCACUGUGUUCCCUUUUCUACAGG